rnacentral:SRP_RNA from 1 species
AUGGUAGCAUGCCUGUAGUCCCAGCUACUUGGGAGGCUGAGGUGGAUUGCUUGAGCCCAGGAGCUCUGGGCAGUACUGCAUUAUGCUGAUCAGGUGUCCACGAACAAAGGACCAUCAGGUUGCCAAAGGAGGAGUGAACUGGCCCAGGUUAGAAAUGGAGCAGGUCAAAACUCCUGUGCUCAUCAGUAGUGGGAUCAUGCCUGUCCCAAUGUUUUGGGAGGCCAAGACGGGAAGAUCACUUGAUGCCAGAGGUUCAAACCCAGUUUGAGCAACAUAGAGAGACCCCCAUCUCU